GCUACAUAGCAUUCACCAUAUGUUUGUCCACAGAAACUUAUGAUAAUAUGUAUGAAACUAAAGUUGAUGCAGUCAAUCUAAAGCAAUUUUAUGAAUCAGCACCACAAAUACCCCAGCAACAGGUAUAAUAAUAAUAAUAAUAAUCAUCAUCAUCAUCAUAAUCAUCAUCAUCAUCAUCGUCGUCGUCGUCGUCGUCAUUUGUAUCCCGCUUUUCUCCCUAAAUGGGACCCAAAGCGACUCACAACAUUAUAUAAAAGACAAUACAAAACAAUAUACAUAUGUAAAACAAUAACCUAUAUAAACAUUUACCGUAAGAAAUAAACAUAUUUGAAAACAUUGUCUAAAAGCCAAGACACCAAGGGAAAAAAACUUUUUGUUGAGCUGUGUUAUUUUUUAAAAAGGACUCUAGGAUGACCUGGAGACCACAGUAAACAUUGUGCAGCCACAUUAGCCCGCAGUCUCAGCCUUUUGCCAUUUCUGCUAUAUGAACGUAAUUUCAACUGUGUUUGCUGUAUUUUCCAUUUACGAUAGCAUAGUUGCAAUUGUGCUGUGGACAGUCACCAGUUCCAUCCAUGCACCACCCAACAUCUUUCCCCUACCUCAUUAUAAACCUACUGACCCAGCUGUGUCCAGAGGUUUUUGGCAUCUAGAACCAACAACAUGUUAUCUUUGUGAUCUCACCCACCAGUUCUAGAUUAAAAGAAGGGAAGCAAGGGCAAGUGAGAAUGCUACGUCCUGGGUAUCUCCAGUAACAUCAUCCAGAAAACCUUGUUAUUUCCCUUACUCUACAGAGGCGUCAAAUACAUUGAUAAGGAAACAUUUCAAAAUGGAGAUGUUUGAUUUAACCGCUCAGGACUUUUCCUUGUCUCUUCUGAAACACGUAUUCUCAGUCUCUUCCUAAGUUGCUUCCCAUACUAAGCAAAGAGACAUAGAGGUAUAUGAUUACAAACAAGAUAUUAUUUAACAAAAUCCUUCUGCCCCCCUCCUUAGAAUCAAAAAUGUUUGAGCUUACCAUUUUAAAAUGUUUCUGUAGGUCUCACAGGUGGACAGUGAAACACUAGAAAAGAGGAAAAAAUGGGUCAGGUUUAUCCAUGCACUACAUUACCCAAGAUUUUGUGGGAGGGUAAGAACAGAGUGAGUAGAAGACAAAUUGACAGAGUUUGAGUAUGCUGGAGCCCUGGGAGUCGGGCCUCUUCCACACCGCUAAAUAAAAUCCCACAUUAUCUGCUUUCUUCUAUCUAACUGGAAUAUAUGGCAGUGUGGAUUCAGAUAAUCCAGUUCAAAGCAGAUAUUGUGGAAUUUUCUGCCUUGAUAUUCUGGGUUAUAUGGCUGUGUGGAAGGGCCCCCACAGAGCAUUUCCUGACCCCAUCCUAUACUUUGCACAGUGCAGCUGGAAAAGAAGCAGAGGCACUGCAAAGAAUU
rnacentral:lncRNA from 1 species